AGCGAACGCUGGCGGCAGGCCUAACACAUGCAAGUCGAACGAACUCUUCGGAGUUAGUGGCGGACGGGUGAGUAACACGUGGGAACGUGCCUUUUGGUUCGGAAUAACUCAGGGAAACUUGUGCUAAUACCGAAUGUGCCCUUCGGGGGAAAGAUUUAUCGCCAUUAGAGCGGCCCGCGUCUGAUUAGCUAGUUGGUGAGGUAACGGCUCACCAAGGCGACGAUCAGUAGCUGGUCUGAGAGGAUGACCAGCGACACUGGGACUGAGACACGGCCCAGACUCCUACGGGAGGCAGCAGUGGGGAAUCUUGCGCAAUGGGCGAAAGCCUGACGCAGCCAGGCCGCGUGAAUGAUGAAGGUCUGAGGAUUGUAAAAUUCUUUCACCGGGGACGAUAAUGACGUUACCCGGAGAAGAAGCCCCGGCUAACUUCGUG
rnacentral:rRNA from 1 species